AGAGUUUGAUUAUGGCUCAGAACGAACGCUGGCGGCGCGUCUUAAGCAUGCAAGUCGAGCGGUAGACAUCAGCGAUGGUGUUUAGAGCGGCGGACUGGUGAGUAACGCGUGGGUGAUCUACCUUGAGGGUGGGGAUAGUAGUUAGAAAUAGCUGGUAAUACCGAAUAAUGUUGUCUUACUGUGGUGAGGCAAAGAAAGGGGCUUUGGCCCCGCCUUAAGAUGAGCCCGCGUUCCAUUAGCUAGUUGGCGGGGUAAAGGCCUACCAAGGCGAUGAUGGGUAGCCGGCCUGAGAGGGUGAACGGCCACACUGGGACUGAGAUACGGCCCAGACUCCUACGGGAGGCAGCAGCUAAGAAUAUUCCGCAAUGGGCGAAAGCCUGACGGAGCGACGCCGCGUGUAUGAAGAAGGCCGAAAGGUUGUAAAGUACUUUUGCGGAUGAAGAAUAAGCAGGACAGGGAAUGGUCUUGUGAUGACGUUAGUCCGUGAAUAAGCCCCGGCUAAUUACGUGCCAGCAGCCGCGGUAACACGUAAGGGGCGAGCGUUGUUCGGAAUUAUUGGGCGUAAAGGGCGCGUAGGCGGUUAUGCAAGUCUGGCGUGAAAGGCAAGGGCUUAACCCUUGGACUGCGUUAGAAACUGUGAAACUAGAGUCAUGGAGGGGGAGUUGGAAUUCCUGGUGUAGGGGUGAAAUCUGUAGAUAUCAGGAAGAACACCGGUGGCGAAGGCGAACUUCUAGCCAAUGACUGACGCUGAGGCGCGAAAGUGCGGGGAGCAAACAGGAUUAGAUACCCUGGUAGUCCGCACUAUAAACGAUGCACACUAGGUGUUGGGUCGAGCGACUCAGUGCCGGAGCGAACGUGAUAAGUGUGCCGCCUGGGGAGUAUGCCCGCAAGGGUGAAACUCAAAGGAAUUGACGGGGGCCCGCACAAGCGGUGGAGCAUGUGGUUUAAUUCGAUGAUACGCGAGGAACCUUACCUGGGUUUGACAUGGGGGUGGAUG
rnacentral:rRNA from 1 species